rnacentral:rRNA from 1 species
UACGAAGUGGGCUAGCGUUGCUCGGAAUCACUGGGCGUAAAGGGCGCGUAGGCGGAUCUUUAAGUCGGGGGUGAAAGCCCAGGGCUCAACCCUGGAAUUGCCUUCAAUACUGGAGAUCUUGAGUCCGGAAGAGGUAAGUGGAACUGCGAGUGUAGAGGUGAAAUUCGUAGAUAUUCGCAAGAACACCAGUGGCGAAGGCGGCUUACUGGGCCGGUUCUGACGCUGAGGCGCGAAAGCGUGGGGAGCAAACAGG